AAAAAAUUAAUUUAAUUAACUAAAAUAGUAAAUAAUUAUUUAUUGAAACUUAAAUAAUUUGGCGGUAUUUUAGUUCAUUUAGAGGAAUCUGUCUAAUAAUUGAUAAUCCACGAAUAAAAAUAUUUAAUUUAAAAUUUUAUAUAUCGUUGUUAAAAAAAUAUUUUUUAUAAAAAAUAAUAUUUUAAAAUUUUAAUUAAAAAAUUAAUUCAGAUCAAGAUGUAGAUAAUAAUUAAAUUUAAGAUGGAUUACAAUAUAAAUAUAUAAAUGGAUAAUAAUUUUGUAAUAAUUAUUUGAAAGUGGAUUUAAAUGUAAUUUUAUUUAAUUUAAUAAAAUGAUUAAAAAUUGAAAUAUGUACAUAUUGCCCGUCACUUUCAUUUAAAAAUUGGAAUAAGUCGUAACAAAGUAGGGGUACUGGAAAGUGUUCCUAGAAAGA
rnacentral:rRNA from 1 species